rnacentral:lncRNA from 1 species
GAAAUCAAUGAAAUUUUAACACAAGGUUUAUGACCACAAAAGGAAGGUUGGGAUUGAUUUUUGGAGUUUUGGUCCCAACAUUUUAGGAAUUAGGGGCCAAAAAGGGCCCAAAUAAGCAUUUUCUUGGUUUUCGCACUACAACUUUAGUUUAAGUGAAUAGAAAUCUAUGAAAUUUUGACACAAGGUUUAUGACCACAAAAGGAAGGUUGGGAUUGAUUUUGGGAGUUUUGAUUCCAACAGUUUAGGAAUUAAGGGCAAAAAAAGGGCC